rnacentral:lncRNA from 1 species
AAGAAACUGCCUUGCUCCUUCCACCAUGGGAGGACACAGCGUUUGUCUCUUCUGCCAUGUGAAGGCUGAGCAACAAGGUGCUAUCUUGAAAGCACAAACUGGGUCCUCAGGAUAUAGUAAAUCUUUUGAGGUCUUCCAGCCCCUAAAACUUGAGAAGCGAAUUUGAAUUGGACAGAAUAUGUGGUUAUGGGACUGCCCGUUGCCGGAAGAAAUGUCGCAGCCAAGAAUACAGAAUUGGAAGAUGUCCCAACACCUAUGCAUGCUGUUUGAGAAAAUGGGAUGAGAGCUUACUGAAUCGUACAAAACCCUGAAACGCAGUAGUGCUGGUCCCUAGAGUCGCUGGAAGUAGGACCUCAGUAGCUUUCCUUCCUGCGGCCUAGCAGCAAGGGCAUCCCCAUUGCAACCACGGGUUCAGUUAUCAAAGAAGGUUUGCUGAGCUUCCACUCAAUGCAAAGCCAAUAUAGGAGAUUGAAGAAGAAUACAGGCUGGAAAGCCGCCUCUGGUUGUGAUAAUGGAGAAUAACAAUGGGAGUUAAGCAUGAGUUUCAACACUUUAUAAGUUGAACAAAAAAUAUGUCUACCUAAUCAGCUAUAAACCUAAGAAAAACAUCAUUUUUAUCCUGAUAAUAUUGGUUUUCUUUUCCGAUCGAAAGUUUUGCUCAGGAGUUAUAUAUAUCGUGUGUUAAUUAAAAUGUAAAGUAAAUCAAUGUUAAGUGUGCCUUGUUUAGAAUACACU